rnacentral:rRNA from 1 species
AUGACCAUUAACAAGGCACAGGGUCAAACCAUCCCGAAUGUCGGUAUUUACCUUCCCGAACCUGUUUUCUCACAUUGCCAGCUAUAUGUUGCAUUGUCAAGGGGUGUGUCAAGAAAGACGACACGAAUUUUAGCCAAGCCUAACAAGGUGGUUGAUAAAUCUGGGAAGAGCACCAAAAACAUGGUCUACAGAGAUGUUUUAGAGGGGUGA